AUAGCCGUCCAGCGUUCACGCUCUGCUCAGUUAGUUAGGGGAUACAUGCUGAGCCAUUGGAGCGCAAGAAAUGGUAUGUUAGGUUACCCAUCAUGUAGAGCAAGCAGGGGCUUCACUACUUCAGCAGGGGUGCCUUUUUUUGUUCCUGUUCUAUUUCAGCAUGAAACAGUAAAAGCCAAGACAUCAGCUAAACAUGUUUUACAUUGCUGAGCAGUUUAAAAGUUUGAAAGAGGAGAUGAGCCUUUAAAAAGACUUGAUAGGGGUGACUUGGCAGGAGAGACAAGACAGAAAUCAUCUUUGCGGAAUAAAGACAGAGGAAGAUGGAAAUGUUCACAUGAAACAGCUUUGUUACCCUCCCACCUGCAUCUGCCCAUCAACUGACUCCAUUCUUCAACUUGACAUCAUCUUUCCUCACAGACAAGACGAAGAGGAGGAGAAGAGAGAAGCAGAGGUGGGGAAACAAACAAAGCAGACAGAGAAAGAGGAGGAAGAGCAGAGAGGAGGUGGACAGCACAGUUUUAGCUCUCACAAGGCUGAGGAGGAGAAAGUGACAGGCAGCUAGAACUUGGCCACUAGUGAGAUGAAAUUCGGGGAGGAGACGCUGGACCGCUGCAGGGUACGACAUCCAACAAGAGCACCAACAUUGGACUGCCUUGAAGACGAGCCAGCCCUCUCUGGAUCCCCUCCACAGCCGAAGGAUGAGAGGGGUCGACUUUCACCUUAGUUGCCAGGGAUGUCUGUGCACUAUGGAAAGGCGUCCCCCUCCAGCAUGUCCAAUGCUAUGUUAUUCCUGAUGCUUUGCAAGAUUGGUCCGAGACAAAAACCGCUGACUUUUCCAGGGAAAAUGGUAAACACUCUCCACAGUGAUGAGGAAAAGGGAAUCCAGGACAAGGAAAGUAAAGAGGAGAGCAUCUUGGCCAUGUUGGGCAUCAUUGGGACCAUUCUCAACUUAGUAGUCAUCAUCUUUGUCUACAUUUACACCACCUUGUAGGUCUCGGACUCUUGUUGUACUUCAUAUCGGAAUUCAUCUGUAUUGUUGCAGCUACGGUGUGUUGACUUUUGACUUUUUUGGAGAUGAAGAUCGGGGGAGCAAGGAAGAGGCCCAGCUUCCCCAGUGGUGAACUGGAUCGAAAACUAUGUGAUCGCCACAUAGCAUCCAUCCUGCUUCACUUCAAACUACUAAGACUAUGGGAAACUGGCUCUUUCCUCUCUCCUUCACAGGUGGAAUUAUCCAGGAUACCUGGGGACAUUUGACUUAUACAUAAAUGCAUGACACUUUUCCCAACACAUGAACAGGAAAGACUGCAGAGAGAGCAUGGACACUCUGGGGAACAUAUGGAUAAAAAGAUCAAGAUGUAAAGAGAAGGUAAACACAGGUAUCUGCAUUGCUAUUUAUUCAUUUGUUCAAAGAUUCUUUCAGCAAAACACAACAUACAUCUGUUUGCAUUAUAAACAGACUUAUUAAAGACAAUUGUUAUGCAGCUUGAUUUAAUGUUUGUUUUUAUACUGUAUUUCUCACUGUUGUAUGUAAAAAUUAACUUGGCAGACAUUUUAUUUAAGUCCUGGAACAAAUAAUGUCUUUAAAUGGCAUUGAGUCAGUUUAAAGUGCUGAAAUGGGUGCACUUGACAUUGCGCUUCACAUAAAAUAGUGGAGGAUCAGAAAGAUUAGUACAAAAUGGCUUGAAUAUCAUUUAUUAUUCAAGUUUUUAAUGCAUCACUUCUAGGUCUUCAACACUGAGAGAAGAUGCAUCCAUUUGUGAGAAAAGAGUUUUCAACAUUUAUCAAAGUCUCAGCUCUGGAAGCUGAGGAGCAUCCUCUAAGGAGAACUGAGAACACUUAUGUUUUACUUGUUGGCUUCAGCCAGAUCAUGCAGCAACUUAGGUUGAUGCUGAGUUCGACCAUGAGUUUCAGCCUGCAGGAUCACCAACAUGCACAUUUACGAAACAUAUAUUCACAGGAUCGCACUGUAAACUGUUCACUUGUAAGUGUACAUAUAAUUUAGGAUAGUCUGCAUUUUUCAUCCAUUGAUCUCAGUUUGUGCAUCGCUGACUUAACCCUUAGACUUGUGCAUAAUGACUGUAUGCCUUAAAACAUAAGGAAAUGACUAUUUCCAUGAUGUAUUAAAUGAUCAGGUUAUUACUACUUAUUGUAUAUACGUAUAUUUCAAUGCCAAUGUCAUAUUGUUUUUAUUGAUGAAAGGUCUUUAUUGGGUCAUUUUAUUAAAAGUACCCUACCUUUGUCUUAAACAAAAUGCUAAAUCUUUUCUUAAGUUCGUAAAUCGUGAAAUCUGUAAUUUAAGUAAUUUCCAGACUUGGGCCAACGUUUCUUCAUUUCUCUCCUUGUGUUGGAAGGCAGGUGUGUGUUUGGCCACAAUGGAUAAUAAUACGAAUGCUGUGAAAUUGACAUGAACACAAUAAUGUUUAGAGUAACUUUUAGUAUGUUCCUCUUCAAUUGACUGAACUGACACAGUGUCAUUUGUCCUCAAUAUCUUUCACUUAAUCUCUCUGGGAGAUUCAAAAUAAGUAGAAACAUAAGCUACAUUUGAUUUGACCCAGGACUGGAAAUAAGACACUAUUUUUGUACUUGAGGCUAAAAGCUAAGCAGAAAGUAUGUCAAAAAUCAUUUCCGCAUUGAAAGGUUGAUCAGAAUCUGGGCCAGCAUGUUUUAAUUUGUACAAAUUGAAACAGUCCUGUGACAGCUUGAACUCAAACGGACUUGAUUAUUGUACAAGAGGUCUGCAAAAAUGAUUUACCUGUAACAAUCUUCUCGAUUGCUCAUUUAUAGAUUAAUUUAUUCAAAAUGCAUUAAAGGAAUAGUUCAAGAGUCUCCGCAACCUCACAGCGGCAACAAGAUUUCAGGAUGUAAUUGCGCUCAGCCAAGAAAUAGUCUGGGGCAAAACCAAAGUCAAUUUCAAACUUAGAUCUCUUUACUUAUCACUAAUUAACAACUCUUUUAAGUGCAUUUUCCAAAAUAUCAAACUAUUCCUUUUAAAAAAACGAAGCCCUAAGAGAUGAGAAAAGGCCAAUAAAUAAUUAUGUACAGCAUGUAGAGAACGUAAGGCUAUAGACAACAACUGGCUACAUUAUGUAUGAAAUAAUACGUUUGUGUUCGUCAGUCAACAACCUCAUGAUUUCAGAAAGUGCCUGAGAUCAAAGUGUCUCAACUUCACCAGUCGUGAGGUGGAGGAACAGAAAACACAAACCAGUGAGAGAUCUAUAUAAGUCCACCCGUGACACAGCCAGGACAGGGGAAGAAGCUUGCAGGAAAACACAUGUCCGAAUCCACUGCAUUCAUCAUGAGACUGGAUUUAUAAAGCUCAGUUAUUAAAGUCAGUUGUCUUUGGUGAGGUGCUCCUACUUGUUUAACAGGAUAAGGAAAAUGAAAGAUUGGGAAACACAUGGACAAGUCUUACGAAUGUAUUCAUAUUUGAUGUAAAAGUUGAUUAUUCCUGUUAUUCUUAUUGUUUACUUAUCUUUCCUAAAGCUAUGUAUUCUGAAUUUCUUCUCAUGUUUUAUUUAUGUGUAUGCUUAAUCUAUUUAAACUCAUUGAAUAGUCUCUUGUGGGUGACAAGUGGAAGUUUUUCAGCCUGCGGUUUGGUUAAAAAAACAUUAAAUGAAUACAUCUUGAAACUGAUUUCAUUGGGAUGUUUUGUUUCGGUUUAUAAGGAUGUAGAUCGAUGGUAAUAAAUUCGGCUUCAUGCAACACAACUCUAUCAUCGGCGUACAUGCGCUACAUUCAUUAAAUGCAAUAUACAUCAAUUUUGAAAGACUCUUUCAUCAUCAUGAAUUCUAAGAAAGAAAGCGUUUGGCUCAAGUGGAAACUGUUAGCACUGGAUAGAAAAUCUAUGAAGAUCUAUAUGCUCCUGCAUCUGAUGUCUGUGUGAGAUUACGACAGAUCCUUGAAGAAGAAGACGGAGGAAGAAAACCAUAAAGAGCCUACUGCGUUACAUCCAGCAAGACAUAUUUCUCUGUCUCGCUGCAAAUCGAUCUGAAAGAUGAAGAACGGACGGAGCACGAAGCUAGCAGGACAAAGACACAGAAACCAAAUCGACCUAAACUAAUUUAUUUUUAUUCCAUCUCCUUCUGCUUUUAGGUCAUAUAUGUGUCAGGAAAAUGUCCCGCUGCAUUAGGAAUGCUCUGUGACUGGUAACAUACUGG
ensembl:lncRNA